UCUACAGUGUUGAAAGAGAAAAAUGAGAGAAGGAAUGAAGGAAAAAGACUGCUGACAUUGACAGUGAGCCACUACUACACCUUUCAGAAUAUAGUAAUAAUAACAACAGUAAUACACUCCCGUAUAUUCGACCGUAUUCCUUCCAUCUCACUCUCUCACCCGCCUAGUCAUCCUUUCUCUCUCAUUCAAUCACUAUUUAUCUGUUUCUCCUUCUCCUUCUCUCUAUUUUAUUUCUUUCACAUUGUUCUCGCUCUCUCCUCUUUCUUUCCCACUAUCGCUGAUUUCAAACAUCGCUGUAUUAUCGCCAACAACAAACCAUUAUUAUCAGUUAUACUGAUAAACUUGUGAUUAGUAAUUCCCAUGUAACUGCUUAAACAAACCCUCAUUUCCCCUUCUUUCGUGACAUACAAGGUGUAUAUAUUUCUAUAUAUAUACACAAAUACAUUUAUAUAUGUAUAUACCUAUUUAUACAUCAUCACUUAUCCAUGUGCAUUCGUUAAAAGGGUGCCUCGGGCCACCCUUUUAACUGAAUUCUUAAGCUCAUUCAAAUGACAAAGCGCUUCGUUCGAAAGGAUUUAUUUAAGCAGGCAUAUUUUAAAACCAACCUGGGAAGCCGGAAAUCUGGAAACCCCUCAUUUUAAGGUGUGUUUCCUUAUCUUCGACCACAGCGAUUUGUUAUGGAAAAUAGAGUGAAUUACGAAUAUCUUCUUGGGCAAUACAGUACAAAAUUUGACACUGAAAUCUGGCAUGGCCGUACACACACUGAGGUUCCUUUGGUGCGACUGGCAGAGUUUUCCGAGGAAUUAUUUGCAAGUUAUUCUGGACCCGACUUAGGACUAGCAUGUGAGGAAGUUAAAAAUUGCAAUGAUAACUUCCACAAAGUCGCAGGGGCACAGUCAUGGAACAAAAAAGACCAAAGAGCUUAUGGGUUGUGCAUCUCGUUAUACGACCAACAUCCGAUUUAUGGGAAGAUGUCUGGUGACCCAAUUGCCGAUGCUUUUGCAAUUUGUUGCCGAAAAAAUAAUGCCAUAAUGCUCAUCGCCGACGGUGUAAAUUGGGGUGAGAAGUCUCGACUGGCUGCCCGCUGUGCCCUAUAUGGCAGCAUGGAGUAUAUUAAUCGUAAGCUGUUUCAAGAGAAAACCCAGCCAGCUAGUACACAGGAAGCAUUGGAAAUAUUACGUACAUCUAUGGAUGCUGCUCACAGAACCAUCUUAAAGAAAGAAGGGGGCUUAACGACAUUAUGUGUUUGCCUCAUUUGUCCAGUCUACAAUUCUGCUGAUUUUGCUGUAUGUUGUGUUAAUGUUGGAGACAGUUUUGCCUACGUUUUCAGCAAAAACAAUGGAAUUAGAGAAAUAACAGUUGGUUCUCAUGAUGUAGCGUCUGAACGUGAUAUCCGUGAUGCUGGGGGAGCAAUUGGUCCUGUCGAUGGAGAAAACCCUGAAUUACAAAAUCUCACCUGCUCUUUGACUUUUGUGAAUAAAGGUGAUGUGGUUUUCCUCACAACUGAUGGGAUAUCAGACAACUUUGAUCCUGUUGUCACCAAAGUUGCAAUUCCACGGAAGAAUACCGAUAACAACUCUAAUGAUGCUUUGCCAACGACCCCUGACACUUUUGAAGACAAACCUAUGAUGGAACCACAAGAACGACAUAUCUAUGCACUAAAAGAAAUGGAACGGAUAAUUCAUGAACAUGAACUAUUAACUGAAGAGACAUGUUCUGCUCAGGAACUCUGUGGGGCCCUUGUGCAGCAUGUAUUAACUUUGACUGAUUCCAAAAGAAAAAUUCUUGAAAAUCCAGAGUUAUAUAGAAAGAAAAAAAUGACUUCAAAGGAGCGUAAGCGUAGAGACUCACAAAUUGUUGAACAGAUGUCUAAAGCUCCUGGCAAACUUGAUCAUGCUUCAAUUGUUGCCUAUGAAGUGGGCAUUUGUGGUGAAGAUGAGGAGGAAGAGGAAAUUGAGCUCAUUAAGGAGAGCAAUUCCGUUAAGGUCAGUACUCCAAACAUUGACUGUUCCGAAUCUUCAUCAUCUUCCAAUCAUGAGAAAGAUCUUUUUCAUCCAAACUCCAUUUCCAUCCCAGUUUUUAAAAAAUCUAACCCUAAAAAAUUCUUCUCCAAACUUCGCAAUUCUGCUGCCACUCCCACAUCCCCUAUUUCCCCACUCACAUUUUCAUUGCCGUUUCUUCAUAAGAAAAACUCUUCCAAACAUUUUCACUCUGUAGAGGAAUCUGAAGCCAAUACACCAGUCUCUCCUACUUCUCCAAAUCUACCGUACCCCAACAACCAGCCUUUCUACUAUCAAACGUUUUCUUAUGAAUCAGCCGUAUGAUCUAACAAGCCUUUUUAAUCCCUCUUAAUUUCUGCUGCUGCUGCUGCUGCUGUUGUUCUUUACUUCUUCAUCUUUUCUUUAACUGCAACUUUAACUUUAUUAACUGCUAGACUAUUUGGUUGGGAGAAGCAAAGCUUACAUGUGCAGUAAGGGAAUGCAGUGUGUAUUUGUUUACUUGUACUAUGUACAUAAUCACGGAUAAGAUAUAUAAACAGGAGUGUGCAUGUGUGUUUUGUUUAUUUUCCAAAAGAAAUUGAUCCAAACUAAAGUGAAAUAAUGCCCUUUUUGAUUUGAGAAGGAAAAUAAAAUGAAAUAACAAUAUAAACAAAACCAAACAGCAACAACAAAAUUCUUUAAACUAUUCUUGCCAAAUUUAUGUUUGACUGUUUCUAGCCAUAAGAUAAAGAGUAAGAAGAAAAAUUACCAUUAGGACUGUCAAAUGUCUGUGGGUACCGUCUGGUGUAACCCUAUUGACCUGGGAACAGUCCAGUGGAGAUUCUUGCUACCUGUCUGAUGAGUGUCCACCAAUAGCACAAGAUCCAGUUUCUUUUAGCAAGAAUCUCCACUCACAUUGCACAGUCAUUCUUCUGCCCACUGAGCUGUAGACUACUUUCGUUUUAAAUUCAUCAACAGAGCUUCUAUGACAACUUUGAAUUCUUCAUAAUGAAAUUGGUAAUAAUAAUAAUAAUGGUAAAUAUGAAUGAGAAUAGGUUGCCUUUAAAAAGUUUUGUUCUUUUAUUUAAAUUAUAUCACAAAAAAAAAAAAAGUCCAGAAUAACGAAACAGUUGUAAUAACACCACCAAAUAGUUGUAAUUAAAAUAAUGAUAAUUAUUAUUAUUAUUGGUGUGUGUAUAGUAAAAAUUUGUUUCAGUUUUUCCUGCAUCUAUUGAUACACACCUUUGGGCAUCUCAUCCAUAUUGUUUCCUUGAAUCUCUGAGUGUUUCAGGUUUUACAACAUACCCCUUGAUCCAUUUGGGUUGAGUUGUACAGAAGAGAACAAAGAACCGUCUCUACAUUAAAUAAUGAGCAAUCAUCAGCAUUCUGACAUUGACCAUUCAAAAUCUCCAUUGUAAGUUAUUUCUGUCUCCUGUUUGGUCUAAGAUGUUGAUAUUGCAUCAAUUAAAAAACUACAGCGCAAUUGUAUAUGCUUCAUUGAAAUAAUGGGUCUAGAAUAAAAAAGGAAAAACAAUUUGAAAGGGCUAAACAAAUACCCCAAAUAUAUAACUACAUGUUAUAUAUAUAUAUAUAAUUUCCUGUUGUAGUGUGUAGAACUUGCUUUCUUUUGAGGGGUUUUUUUUUUCAUCUAAAGAAAUUGAAAAUAAUUUACUUUUCUCUGUAAAAAGUGUGUGUGUGUAUAAAGGAUGCAUUUGCCUGGCGCACAAAAUGCUAGGCGUUUAGAUUCCAGUGUGAGCUUGACUCUCUCGACAUAUUGCUCUCCCUAUACAAGACACUUUGCUCUUGUUUAACGCUUCAUGAUGCUAUGCUUCUUUAAGAAAUAAUAUCACAAGCACACAUAUAUAUUAUAUGUAUAUAUAUAUAUAUAUUGUGUGCAUGUAUAUAUAAUAUAUUUAUAUAUAUUUUAUAUGCUGACAUUAGAUGGAAUGUAAGCAACCAGAAAUUCACAAGUGUUGCUUGCUCUUUAGUUCUAUCGGUUUAUACAUGAAACUAUUUAAUAUUCAUAUUUACAUUGACAAUUGUAUUCUUUGAACAAUUUUAGCUUAAUCAAUAAAUGUAUUAUUAAUUCAAGAUACAUUCAAAUUGUAUUAGACAGACAUAAUGUGGUUUAUAUAUAUAUAUAUAUAUACAUAUACAUACACACAUAUAUAUAUA
rnacentral:misc_RNA from 1 species